UACGGAGGAUGCAAGCGUUAUCCGGAAUGAUUGGGCGUAAAGCGUCCGCAGGUGGCUAUGUAAGUCUGCUGUUAAAGAGUGAGGCUCAACCUCAUAAGAGCAGUGGAAACUACAUGGCUAGAGUGCGUUCGGGGUAGAGGGAAUUCCUGGUGUAGCGGUGAAAUGCGUAGAUAUCAGGAAGAACACGGGUGGCGAAAGCGCUCUGCUAGGCCGCAACUGACACUGAGGGACGAAAGCUAGGGGAGCGAAUGGG
rnacentral:rRNA from 1 species